UCAAACUUGGUCAUUUAGAGGAAGUAAAAGUCGUAACAAGGUUUCCGUAGGUGAACCUGCGGAAGGAUCAUUACAGUAGUAAUGCACGGAGCACGCCGGCCCUCCGGGGACGGAUCCUCCGACGUCCGGACACCCGUCCUGUGGCGUUUAACCCUCUGUGAAAACCCCCAGUUGCUUCGGCAGCGCGCCCUACCCCCUCGCGGGGAAAGGCGGUCAGCCUGCCGACGGCACCCAACCGAAAACCCUUACGUGUAAUUUAGCAUAAUUUUACGUCUGAGCGCGAAGUCGAAUUGACUAUAAAACUUUCAACAACGGAUCUCUUGGUUCCCGCAUCGAUGAAGAACGCAGC
rnacentral:misc_RNA from 1 species